CCUACGGGUGGCAGCAGUGAGGAAUCUUGGUCAAUGGGCGCUAGCCUGAACCAGCAAAGCAGCGUGAAGGAUGACUGCCCUCUGGGCUUUAAACUUCUUUGAUAUGGGAAUAAAGUGCAGUAAGUAUACUUCUUCGCAUGUACCUUAUGUAUAAGGAUCGGCUAACUACGUGCCAGCAGCCGCGGUAAUACGGUGGUUCCGAGGGUUAUCCGGAUUUAUUGGGUUUAAAGGGAACGUAGGCGGGUUGUUAAGUCAGUUGUGAAAGUUUGCGGCUCAACCGUAAAAUUGCAGUUGAUACUGGCAGCCUUGAGUACAGUAGAGGUAGGUGGAAUUCGUGGUGUAGCGGUGAAAUGCUUAGAUAUCACGAAGAACUCCGAUUGCGAAAGCAGCCUGCUGGACUGUAACUGACGCUGAUGCUCGAAAGUGUGGGUAGCAAACAGGAUUAGAUACCCGAGUAGUC
rnacentral:rRNA from 1 species